CUAAAUGCGCAGAAAGGGCGCAUCGCUCCCCCGGCUGCAGGGCUCCUGAAGCAGCUCCGGCUCCUGCGCCUCGGCUCCUCCGUGCCCAGCACCGCCUCUGCCCCGUGCUCGCCCGGCUCCUGCCCUCGAUACCCGGUCCCGCAGCCCCAUAGCCCUCUGUUGCUCCCUAUGGUCACCCCCUCCCUUGCUCCCAUCCCAUUCUGGCUUGGCUGGGGCCACUGGGAGCCCCAAAUAAAGUGUCCCAGUGCCCUGCGUCCCUGCUGCUGUGGGGACGGUGGGGCAGGGGCGGGCACCGCCA